CGCCCACCGUCGGGUAAUCGUCGGUUCGUCUGAACCCAACUGCAGUGCAGAGUCGGAAUGGGGGGCUUGGCCCCGGUCCAGCACGGUCAAAAUUAGCUCUCUGUUGAAUUUCAUGCAGUCAGCCAGUGGAAGCAGCUGAGAUCCUGACGCCCCAGUCCCGCAGCCUUGUAUGGGGUGUCCGAGCCCCGCAAGGCUGCAGCUCGGGUCCGCUGUCGUCCACGAACGCCUUUUCCAGCAGCAACUUUACAGCAAAGGACAAAAACAGAUACUUUAUGUGUUCUUUCUUCAACAUGACACCAACAGGAGCAAUGGGGGAUCCCACUAGAGCUGACGGCUGUGUUCCUGAACCCGGUGGCACGGAGAGGAACGACCACGAAAGAUCGACAUUCCUUCUCUCUGAAGCAGGAUAGAGAACGGCCCUCUGGGGAAAUUAUAUCCUCAUGUAUAUUAUUUUUUAUUUCCUAAAUCAUGUAUAUCCUUAUUUUUUAUGGUUAUGGCGAGCGGUACAGAUGAAUUAUGACGCUGGGGCUGUUUCCCCAUCUAUGUGAUUAAUAACAUUUUAGAAAAACCUGGGACUCUAAGCCUUGAUGAUAUGCUCUUCGGAGGGGGCGGCAGUAAAGACACUCAGCACCUCAAGACAGACCUGACAGACUGGAGCUUCACUAAAGACCCACAUGUCUGUGUUUGCAAACUCCACAGGGGCCCUCGGGGGUCCCGCGGCAGCGGCACGUCUUCCACUUGUCCACUUCUACUUUACACGGCUGGACUCUUUCAUACUUCUGUGAAUUCCUGUGAACGAACCCAUCAAGAAAUGUCCACAGUUACUGACACCCAGUGUGACAAACACUAGAGCAGUAUGUGUUUUUAAAGGCCGAUACCAAUGUCACGGUUCCAAAAUUGGUGUCGAAACAUUUUUUCACUCGAAAAUUCAGUCACCAAAAAAAAAAAAAAAAAUGGGUGAGGAAACAUAGAAAUUAAAUUUCACAAAAAAUACCCAAAAACAAAUUAGUGUAGAAACAAUUUUCAAUCAGAAAUUAAAUACACUUCACAAAAAAGACGUAAAAACAAAUUUCACACCAAAAUUAAAUACAUUUGACACACACACACACACACACACACACAAACACUCUCUCUCUGUCUCUCUCUCACACUCACACACACACACACUCUCUCUCUCACACACACACACACACUCUCACACACACAUGGUGUACAAACAAUUUUCACUCAGAAACUGGAAGUAAAGAAAGGCGAGUAACACAUUGCAUUUAUUAAGAAAUUUUUAAGUAGAAAGACCGAAAAAGUAUAUUCUUGUAAAACAUACUCAGAUAAUCUCUGUUUUAUUGCAACUUCAAUUUUUAUUUAAAUUUUUAGUAACAGUGCAUGGUCAAAUAUCAGUGAAUCCUAAAAUUGUGAUUUAUCGAUCUGAAAAAUACACGACAAUGUCUAAAACUGUGUAGAAGUCAUGGAAAGUGAAUAUGAUUUCUGUUUUUGAGUUAUGCACUGCUCUCAAUUAUUUAAUCAUCUAGAAAUCGUUCCAUAACAUGAUUUUUGAAAUCGAUCAGUUACACUAAAAUAAUUAUUACAUCAAUUCUGUGGGAACCCUGGAGUAUUUAUAAUAAUAAUAAUAAUAAAAAAGCAAAUGAGAUUUAAAUUUAAAUGUAUUUUUUGUAACUUUUAUUUAUUUAAAUUUCUCUAAAAAGUAUUUGGAAUCAAAACUAGCACUUCUGUUAACCGGUUGGUUAUCGGUUAUUAUUCCCAUUUUGACAGUCUAUCACUCCCAAAAAUCACACUCACAGGAACACUUUGACGUCUCGCUCGGCUCCAUCCAUACGUCUUCAUCACUAAACCAUGUCAGCGUCACUCAGUACUCACACCUUACAGUAUUUACUAAGGCUAAGAGUCCCCACUUCUCACGCAGUUACUAGAAAAGCUACAGAGUUCAUCUUUUUUGUUUCAUUUUUUUUUAGAAUAUGCUUGUUAAGUUUUGCUUUUUAACUUUUUUUGUUGCUUUGCCAGUAUAUUAAAGUGUAAUCAUGUACGUUGUGAUUUAGAAAUAGCUGUAGAGAUGCAUUGUUUCCUUGUGGUAAGUGACUGAGAUGCUGCCACGGAUUUGAGACACUGAUGAAUGGUGCUAUUUUGGACUUUAAUCUGCUCCUUGGGUAAGGAAGCUCAGAUGGGUUUGAUUUUAUAUUUUCAUGUUCGGAGGAGGUGUUGGUUCUUUGUUGUCUGGUUGUCGUAACUCGGAUCGGAUCGACUUUAUUCCCCCUCGCUGUUUCUGUGUGGCUUUCUCAUUGGACAGACAAACAGAUUUGCUGGAGAGUGUUUUGUUUUGUUUUUUACUCGGAGAUGAUUAUUCGCAAAACUGUAGACAGUCGGAGCAAUCACAAAACUGCAAUUAUUAACACUACUUACCCUUUAAUGUAAAGGUUUAAUUACAGUUCCUGGCACUUUAGUCACUUCUGGCAAUAGAAAAACUCUCAUACUUACAGGACGGGGUCCUUACGCAGCCGAUUGCACGGUUUUGUUUAGCAAUGAACUUCGAAUGCAUCAAGGAUGUGUUCCAAUCAGAGCGAAGCUGUGCACAGUCCCAGGUGACGGUGGUCUAUAUAGUGUACAUACACAGGGCAGCUGAGGUCAGAUUUAUCAUCCUACACCAGUCUAACAAGGACAAAAACGCUCAUCCGUUUAGCACACGGGGUCCUUACAUGCAAAACAUGUAGCAGCAAAACCAACGCAGCUGGUUUUGUACAUGAGUUUCCUGGAUUUAAGGAUGCGAACCCAAAGUUUUAUAUCUAUUCAUCAAAGUAGCACAGUAUCGUCACUCGGUAUUUGCAGUUUUGUCUUUGCUUCCAGUUCACAUACUUUUAAGAAUCCCAAUUCAGAGUCCGACUGGAAAGCCCACGUUAGUUUCUUAGUCUUCCAUUUAUUUUCCCACGACAGUGGGACCUUCCCAGCUUGCUUUAGUCUCUCCUUUAGUGCUUACUGAUCGCAUGCUCUCUGCUCUUCCUUUUGUUUCUGAACUGAAUGAUUCUCCUCGCGGUUUCUUCUCAUAGAUUAGAUAUGCCAACUGUGUUGUAAAUAGCCAGUUUAUAGCUUGUAGUGUGUUGAAUUAUUCUGUAAUAAGUGUAUGAUUGGUGUACAAAACAUGAAGUCUAGCCUUGUCAUCUUUAUAAGGAUGCACAGGUAUAUAUCAUGUUAUUUUGAAACUUAAGCUGUAGUUGAAUAAAUAUGCAAGCUCUCGCUA